AUGGCUCGAAGCAUGAUGAAGAGCAAGGGUCUACCGGCAAGGUUUUGGGGAGAAGCGGUGACGACGGCCGUGUACUUGCUGAACCGCGCGCCGACGAAGAGUGUCGUUGGCAUGACUCCGUACGAGGCAUGGUGUGGGCGCAAACCUACAGUGGAUCAUCUUCGCACCUUUGGGUGUGUCGCACAUGUGAAGACAGUGGCUGGUCAUGUAGGCAAACUUGCCGACCGGAGUACACCAAUGAUCAUGAUUGGCUAUGAGAUGGGCUCGAAGGCGUACCGGGUAUACAACCCAGCAACAGGCAAAGUCCAAGUAACUUGA
rnacentral:rRNA from 1 species